rnacentral:lncRNA from 1 species
CCGGUGCCCUGAACAAUCAACCACUGACACAAAGUCCCAUGAGAGAAUGAAACGGCCCUGAAUGCUCUGUGCCCACACAGUGAAAGAUGGUGACCCUAUAACCUCUGGAUCAGGGUGACAAGAUUGAGAAUAUCUGAGAUCACACGGCUGAGUCAAAGUCACUCAAGGAGGAAAUGGGGACCUGCAACAGGAACUCUUUCUGGCUACUCAUUUCCGCCUCCUGACCUACCUCCUUUGAGAUGGGUGAGCUGUGCUUGCCCACUAAGCUCUGAGUCUGCCAAGUGUUUGAAAAGUUCAGGAGCAGUAGGUGAACUGGGCUGAAAGAGGCGGAGCUAAGCUGAGGGCAGGAAGUGGAGAAAGAAAAGCAAAAAUCAGUAGGAGCCGAAUUUAUAGCUUGGCCUGUGCUACAAAGUCAUUUCUUGGUUCCACAAGAAGGUUUGCUUCUGAGACGUGCCAAGGAACUCACCCAGGGACACACAACCAGUGAUCAGCAGAGAGGUUCACACCCACUUCCAAGCCCACCUAUGAGGGAAUGCCACCCCCUUAGCAUCUAUAUUUUUUGAUAAAAAUACGGUCUCUUUGCCUGUAUGUCUCUUAAGGUUGGUGCUCAGAGCUCUCAGCAGCUGUGUCUACCCACCUGCAGCUCAAGUCAUCCAAUGAAGUUGGCCUGAAUAGUAAAGCUGGUGCCUUGGAAAGGAAAGUCGUGCCAUCCCAUAGCCUUGAGUGACAUCCCAUAGCCUUGAGCCUGUCUGGGACAGUGCACCUGACAGGGGACUCAGCAGUCUCCCUAGGUUGCUUCCCUCCUUCUGUGCACAAUCCUCCCCGAAAUGAUGCUCAUGGUUCUGAUAUUCUAAUUUUCAAUACUAGUAAGAGGACGACAGCAACUCCACCUCUCUGGAGAGCUGCAUUCUGGGAAGAAAGAGGCCAUACAUAGGUUUCUCCUAAAUAAACGCA